UGGCACCUUAGCUCCAGGAGCCUGGUGAGUGGAGGAGACUGAAGAUGGAGAGAGAGCCUGGACCUCAACAUGAGCAUCUGGAGCCAUUUGGCAGCAUUAGGCUGUGACCGCUUAGAGAACCGAAAGGUGCAGAGCUUUAAAGGAUUAUGGAGUCUGAAGACCAAAUGGGAUGAUGGAGAACAGCUAUUCAGUGGUACAAAUGUAAAUGCUCCCAGGCCCGGGCAGAAAAGAGAAAACAUUUCCAUGGAAGAGGAAACAGGAAAUUCCAACAGAUCAGCAACAGUUGGAGUGCUAACCUGUCACUGGAAUGGGAAAAAAAAUGCUGUCGUUGACACAUCUUUUCCUUGUUUUUGACACAAAUUAGAAGACAGAGAUGAAGAAAAGAAGGAAGUGGAGGCAAUGAGGAAAGGAGGGAAGAAGGAAGGAAGGAAAUCAUGCUUGAAAGAAGUUGUGGAACAUGUCAAGUUUUUUUCCGGAUGUGGCGGAGAUUAUGCAGCUACAAUGAAGCCAGAUUAAGAUUUCAGGAAAAUGGACAGAUCUCUACAAUGUUCUCCAAAGAGAUUGUUUUGCUUGCCAAUAAAAAGAGACACCUGGGAGCACCAUACUCUCUCCUGUUCCUCUGGGUAUCAUAUUUCCUUAUGACACCUGAAACUCUGAUGCCUUCUGGGUCCAUGAAAGCAGUGAGAUGAGCACAGGAAACCACGCUGAGGAUGGUUGAGCAAAAAGGUGACAUUGAGCCACUGGAUUAACCUGCCCAGAAACAGGAUAUCUUCAGAUUUCUUGUUAAGUAAGAAAAUGUAAUUUUGUUGAUUCUAAGUUACACUUUCUUUUGUUAGUUCAACAUCUCUGAAAUCAGAACAUAUUUUGCCAUGGUAAUAUCUUACCAUCACUGUAAUAUGUAAUAUCCUUACAUAGGUGUCAUUGCCUAUGCAUGUGUCAACUUGAUUGCUAUUCUCUGUGAUAUGACUGACAACUGCAGCCCUUUGACAGUUCAGUCGACAAACCAUUGAAGAUUAUUAGGGUAAGAAAUACUGCUUUCUGUCUGAAAACUUUCCAAUGACAUCUUCUGAAAAGACAAAGAAAGUAUCAGCAUCAAAAUUUGCGUAAUAGGCCGGGCGCGGUGGCUCACGCCUGUAAUCCCAGCACUUUGGGAGGCCGAGGCGGGCGGAUCACGAGGUCAGGAGAUCGAGACCAU
rnacentral:lncRNA from 10 species